AACGAACGCUGGCGGCAUGCCUAACACAUGCAAGUCGAACGAGAUCUUCGGAUCUAGUGGCGCACGGGUGCGUAACGCGUGGGAAUCUGCCCUUUGCUUCGGAAUAACAGUUAGAAAUGACUGCUAAUACCGGAUGAUGUCUUCGGACCAAAGAUUUAUCGGCAAAGGAUGAGCCCGCGUAGGAUUAGGUAGUUGGUGGGGUAAAGGCCUACCAAGCCGACGAUCCUUAGCUGGUCUGAGAGGACGACCAGCCACACUGGGACUGAGACACGGCCCAGACUCCUACGGGAGGCAGCAGUGGGGAAUUUUGGACAAUGGGCGCAAGCCUGAUCCAGCCAUGCCGCGUGCAGGAUGACGGUCCUAUGGAUUGUAAACUGCUUUUAUACAGGAAGAAACACUACUUCGUGAAGUAGCUUGACGGUACUGUAAGAAUAAGGAUCGGCUAACUCCGUGCCAGCAGCCGCGGUAAAGUUGACUACUG
rnacentral:rRNA from 1 species